rnacentral:rRNA from 1 species
UGGGGAAUUUUGGACAAUGGGCGAAAGCCUGAUCCAGCAAUGCCGCGUGAGUGAGGAAGGCCUUAGGGUUGUAAAGCUCUUUCGGCGGGGACGAUGAUGACGGUACCCGCAGAAGAAGCUCCGGCUAACUUCGUGCCAGCAGCCGCGGUAAUACGAGGGGAGCUAGCGUUAUUCGGAAUUACUGGGCGUAAAGCGCACGUAGGCGGCUUUGUAAGUUAGAGGUGAAAGCCCGGGGCUCAACUCCGGAAUUGCCUUUAAGACUGCAUCGCUUGAAUCCAGGAGAGGUGAGUGGAAUUCCGAGUGUAGAGGUGAAAUUCGUAGAUAUUCGGAAGAACACCAGUGGCGAAGGCGGCUCACUGGACUGGUAUUGACGCUGAGGUGCGAAAGCGUGGGGAGCAAA